rnacentral:rRNA from 1 species
AUGGGUAAUUCGAAAAGCAAGGCAGUUGAACCGCAACCAGAAGAGGACGUUACUAUGGGCCUUUCAAGCAUGAAAAAUGUUGAAGAUAACAAUGCAAGAAUCAUACCCGUAGCUCAAAGUGAUGAUGAAACGAAUGCUAUAGUUCUAGAAGGGACAUGUCCGGUUGGAGAGCACAAUGAGGCUUUGUUGUCGGCUCUGAGCACACUAACGGUGGAUUGUUGCACAGAUGAAUAUGAAGGAUCAAGAUCGCUACGGGAUGGAAAUCAUCGUGAUGCUACGUUGUUGGCUUCGAGUAAUCUAACUCUCGAUUCUGGCUCUAUUGGAGAUAUCACCUUGAAAGCUGUAGGCUGUGAACCUUCAAACAAUGAGAUAGAUGGUGCGACAAAACUAAAAGGAAAUCCCAACAUCCAUACUGACGUGUUCGGUAGUGGAUCCAACAUCCAUCAAUUAUUAUUUUUGCUUUAUGGGCUUUGUAGUUAUUACUUUUGA